rnacentral:tRNA from 1 species
GGCGGGAUACCCAAGUGGAUAAGGGAGCGGUCUGCAAAACCGCUAUUCACCGGUUCAAAUCCGGUUCCCGCCU